CCUACGGGGUGCAGCAGUGGGGAAUAUUGCACAAUGGGGGAAACCCUGAUGCAGCGACGCCGCGUGAGUGAAGAAGUAUUUCGGUAUGUACAGCUCUAUCAGCAGGGAAGAGCAUGACGGUACCUGAGUAAGAAGCCCCGACUAACUACGUGCCAGCAGCCGCGGUAAUACGUAGGGGGCAAGCGUUAUCCGGAUUUACUGGGUGUAAAGGGAGCGUAGACGGCGAAGAAAGUCUGAAGUGAAAGCCCGCGGCUCAACCGCGGAACUGCUUUGGAAACUUUUUUGCUGGAGUACCGGAGAGGUAAGCGGAAUUCCUAGUGUAGCGGUGAAAGGCGUAGAUAUUAGGAGGAACACCAGUGGCGAAGGCGGCUUACUGGACGGUAACUGACGUUGAGGCUCGAAAGCGUGGGGAGCAAACAGGAUUAGAUACCCCAGUAGUC
rnacentral:rRNA from 1 species